CUUGGUCAUUUAGAGGAAGUAAAAGUCGUAACAAGGUUCCCGUAGGUGAACCUGCGGAAGGAUCAUUACUGAAGUGAUUUGGGGAUGUUGCUGGCCUCUUCUUGAGGCAAUGUGCACUCUCCAAACAAUUCACGAUUUCCAUCACACCCUUGUGCACAUCCUGUAGGCCCCCCCCCCACCCUCUCUCACCCUCUACCAAGGGGGGGUUAGGGAGGGGGAAGUGUGUCCUAUGUAUUCUGCCACAUCACACAUUUUGAAUGGUGCUCAGGAAUGCAUCUUUUGGAUUAUUUUGUAAAAGUAAUCAUAUAAACAACUUUCAACCAUGGAUCUCUUGGCUCUCGCAUCGAUGAAGAACGCAGCGAAAUGCGAUACGUAAUGUGAAUUGCAGAAUUCCGUGAAUCAUCGAAUCUUUGAACGCACCUUGCACCUCUUGGUAUUCCGAGGGGCAUGCCUGUUUGAGUGUCAUUAAUAUCCUCAAAAGAGACCUUUUCUUGAAGAGGCCUCUUUUGGAAUUGGGGUGUGCUGGCCUUUGUCCUAGGUUUGGCUCCUCUGAAAUGCAUUAGCGAUGUGACAUCCACCUGCACAUGCUUUCUUGGCAUUGAUAAGUCUUUCAUGCCCAAGUUAGCUGAGCAGCUGUGGUUAGGUUCACUUGCUCACAAAUAGGAUGGGUUUUAACCCAUCAUCUGACCAUAUUAACCUCAAAUCAGGUAGGACUACCCGCUGAACUUAAGCAUAUCAAUAAGCGGAGGAA
rnacentral:rRNA from 1 species